AUGCCGUACAUACCAGCUGACGUCACAAACCUACAGGCCAAGUACCAUAGAGAGAGCAAGCUUGCUGACAUAGAGGUCACAAUGGCCUACUUCGAUGAGAAAGCGAAGGAAGAUCCAGAUUUCUUCUACAGGAUAAGAUUGGACGAUGAGGACCGUGUCAGGAACAUGUAUUGGGUGGAUGGUGCUGCAAGGAGAGCCUACAAACAUUUUCGAGAUUGCAUUUCAUUCGACGCGAUGUAUCUGACUAAUAUGUACAAGAUGCCAUGCGCUCCGUUCAUAGGAAUAAAUAACCACAAUCAGUCAUUGCAGUUCGGCUGCGGGCUCGUUCGGAACGAAGACACGGAUGGGUACGUUUGGUUGUUCAAGACCUUCUUGGAGUGCAUGGAUGGACUUGCUCCGAUGAACAUAAUAACAGACCAGGAUUUCAGCAUGCGUGCAGGCAUAUAGGAGGUAUUUCCGUUGGCAGUGCACAGGCACUGCAGGUGGCACAUUAUAAAGAGGGCUGAAGAGACGCUAGGACCGUUCUUUGCUGACCGUCCAGAGCUCCACAAGGCGUUCGAGCUGUGCAUGGACCACAACUUGACGGUGGAGGAGUUUGAAAGGAGCUGGAUGGCCAUGAUUGAAACAUAUCAAGUCCAAGACAACAAGAUGCUUGCUAACCUGUGGGAGAAGCGAAUGUACUGGGUGCCAGUCUACUUCAUGCAGUGCUUCUUUCCCUUUCUGCAGACUACGCAGUGCAGCGAGGGGUUCAAUGCUGUUUUGAAGCGGUACGUGAGCCCUGGCAACUCAUUGCUACAGUUUGUCAAGCAGUACACAGCUUUGCAACAAAAAAUUCUGGGAUCUGAGCUGCAGCAAGAAGCUACCACCGCGCUAAAGCAGCCAAAAUUGCUAACGUAUUUACCGAUGGAGAGGCAAAUGAGCAAGAUAUACACAAACAAGAUCUUUAACAAGUAA
rnacentral:rRNA from 1 species